ensembl:lncRNA
UUGAAGUAUAAAAAAUCUUUCUAAAAAGCCCUAAGGAGCUUUUCAAAAUGCUGCCUAUCCACUUUCCAUGCCUGUACAAAUUUUUGAUAGACAAGGAACACAUAACGUCUUUUCACCAAGCUCAGCAAACAGUGUAUAAACAGUCUAUAUGCCAAGAGUUGGUUCUGUUUUAUCACUCUCAGGAAAAGUAAAAAUGACACAGUGGCAGCAUUUCCUCUCUCUGCAGCAUGGCUCUGCAAAAAUACUCGAAAACCAUCACUUUGCCUUUUAAUGACAUAAUGCAAAGUAUAUACCUGCCAAAAGAACAGAUAAGGUCAAGUAAGAACAUACCCCUUCCACGCUUAGCCUUUUCCCUCAACUUUCAGAGGAAAACCAACUCAAUUCUGUAGUGAACAGUUUUGCAAAUUUCCCAUAUGAGAGAAAAAAAAUAAAAUGCCUAAGAAGCAGAAAAUCGAAGCGUUAAACCUUUGAUCCUGGAUUUGAAGCUAAUCUAUGCAAUUAGCAGUGCUUUUUGUCACAAAAGGAAGAGUCGCAGGAAGAAAGGAUGGCAUAGAGUGCAAAGAAGAAAUCCGGGGAAAAACUGAGAAAAUGAUGCUUCAAUCAUCUUCACAGCCACACAAAUUUUUCCUAAAGAGUAAACAAAGAAGAUGAAAAAAUAUGAGAGAAAGAAGAAGAACAGCAUCAAGCAAACUCCAAACAAUUCUGAACAAUUUCCUCCAGGUUAUCUCACCGUAGGCAAAAUUUAACGCUAUCACAUCAGGGAAGCAAUGUUCAAAGGAGGGGUUCUCAGUGUGCAAGAGCCAUUAUAGGGAUGUGAAUUUGAUUUCCAGCUGUAUACUUUGUUUAUUAACUUCUUCCUAUCUUGACAGGUUGCUUACAUCUCCAGGAGAGUAUUCAGUGGCUAUUUGUUAAUGCAGAUUCCCAUAAGAAUGAAGAACUUCUUAGACCUGGCAGACCCAGUGCAUGGAUUAAGUGCUGUCAGAUAAGGAGGUAGUUUAAUGCAUCUUCUCUGAUGGAGCAGAAACAUCCACAUGAAGUGAAGCACCUUUGUGAUUAUCCAUAGGGGAUGACUCUUUCCACAGGAGUAUCCAUUCAAAUGAUACCUCUUCCAGUCAACAGAUUUCAACACGUGGAAAUCUGAGACCAGCAUUUUUAUAUUUAUGACAUGGAAAAGCUCAUUGGAAGUGGUCCCAACAUCUCCUCAAUGUAAGAACGUUGUCUUUUGAAUGCUGGAGAAGUAAAAGUGGAUUCUGUAGAGGCAUUUACCGUUAUUCAUACUUGAGACUGAUGAGGACAGCUAGAAUCUCCACUCUGCAGUACCUCUGACUAAAAAGAGAAAGAUAAACAAGAGAAAAUUGGUAAAGCUGAAACAUUUUUAUUUAGAUCCACAAGAACAAAACCAAGUGCAACACGGCAUUAGCCCUGGGAACUCAGAGUCACAGGAUAUUAUACCGAAGGAAAGUAAUCAUUAGGAUUCAGAGAGGAAG